rnacentral:lncRNA from 1 species
ACUCUUCCGGAACUUUCUGCCCUGCCCGUUGGUGGAAACUACUAAGGCCAAAACGGGGAGGAACUCGCGGCGGAGGAUGACGAGACGUUAGCGCGUCCCCUUCCUCUCAGAACACCGACUAGCCCAUCACAAGUACUGUCAGAGGAGAGCAGUGUUUUGCUGAGCGUGUGCUGUCCGAGCUCUCACCAGUGCACUAAACCAGGCUGUGGGUCUCACCUCCAUGCAGUUGGUACAGUCCGACUCCCCAUCCGCCGCGAUGAAUGGGAGCGGCCCCGGGACCACGUCUCCGCCCACAACCGUCCCGCCCUCCCGUGAGCGCCUCCUCCUGGUGGCUGGACUUAACUGCAGCCCGCGGCUGGAGGAGCGCUAGAGAAAAGCUUCAGGAUGUCCCCUGGGUCUUCAGGUUCCCUUCCAGUAUGCAGUUAAUCAUGAUGGAUCCUGUAUAUACGAGCUCCUCCGUCCCCUUCAGCCCGGCGAGGAGAGGCACAGUAACUUGUGAACACCGUGAAGAACUUAAUUGUAUGGCACAGAUAAUUAAUAGAAAGAACAGAACUAGAGGUUA